CGUGAAUUUAGAAAUUUCCUCCAGAUGAGGAACUGACACACAGGAUGUGAAGUAUCUCGCUCAAAGCUUCCCAACCAGUAAGUGGUGGAGCCAGAAUUAGAACCCAGGCAGUCAAACUUACCAAGCUCUGGGCUGAACAGAAAAGACACAUACAUAAGCAGAUUCUGGUAAUGUUCCUAAACUUUAAGAUUAAAGAGAAAAAUCUUACAGGCUUCCAAGCAGAAAAAAACAGAGUAGCUAUAAAGGAAAAGAAAAAACCACUGUCCCCACCUGCUCAUCUAUAACACUGGAAGCUGAUUGUCUAAUGGAAUAGCCCCUGCAGAUCUCUGGGAGAAAAGAGCUGCCCACUCAAGACUGAUGUACCCAGCCAGCUAAGACCUGGGAUGAAAAGAAAUUUGAAGAUACAAGGGAAUUCAGUCAAAAUACUCAGAAGUUCAAUGACAUACAAAAUACCACUGUGGCAGUUAAGUGGAAUUCCAACAACAGAAGAAUAAAAAAAGCGGUAAGAAAAAGAAAGCAAGUAAACCAAACAUCCAUUCGAGACUGUGUCAGUUGCCUAUGGGAA